rnacentral:lncRNA from 1 species
UUUCUUGAGCGCAAGGUCACCUUCUCGGAACACACGAGGCUUGACCUUCAUAUCGAAUGCUUUCUUCAUUCUCUGCUGAUAUAACUGACCAUGACACAUGGCAGUUAAUCUCUGAAUCCAUUCAGCAUCAGUCAACUUGGGAUUUGAGGGUAUACUUUUUCCUUUUUCUUUUUCUUUUUUUUUUAUUUUGAUUUUGAUUUUGAUUCUUUUAUUUUUCA